GGCUGAGGUGGGAGGAUUCCUUGAGCCUCGGAGGUCAAGGCUGCAGUGAGCCCUGAUGGUGCCACUGCACUCCAGCUUGGCCGACAGAACGAGACCUUGACUCCAAAAUAGCAAUACUACUGUCUGUCAGGGCUAUGAAGCCACAUGAGACUUGACCCAUUAAGGACAAGAGUGAAGAAAAAUGUAUCAAAUAGAAAUAAUUUUAUCUAAACACUGGCAAGAGGAAAAAGACAUGGAGGAGAAACUUAGAAAUGAAAAGCAGUGAGGCAUCUAUAUGGAUGAACUGAGAGAGGGGCAGUCUCAAAGUGGCAGGUGUCACAAGAGGUCACUCUCAUAAUCAACAACUGAAGACUUCCCAAAACAGCAACUCCUUGCUUUUGCCCCAGGUUUUCCGAGGCAAAAUUUACAUACCAUCAAGGUCAUCCAUGGAAAUGUUCUAGAGUUGAAAAGAAAGCUCUUUCUACAUCUGCAAGGCUGAUUCAUUUUUCUCCCUUCCAAGAACUCUACUAAAAAAAUUAUUUGUUGCUUAUCUGAAAUGCAAAUGUAACUGGAUGUCCUGUAUUUGUGAAAUUCCGGCAACCCUAAUCCAGGACCAAAGCAGAAUUAACCAAAUAAAUGAAAGUGCAUGUCUAGAAAUAAAUGUACUUUUCUGGAGCAUUGUA
rnacentral:lncRNA from 1 species